rnacentral:rRNA from 1 species
UGAGGAAUAUUGGGCAAUGCCCGCAAGGGUGACCCAGCAACGCCGCGUGGAGGAUGAAUGUCGUAAGAUUGUAAACUCCUGUUAGAGGGGAAGAAUAGUACCGGUUGGACCGGUAUAUGACUGUACCCUCAGAGAAAGCCCCGGCUAACUACGUGCCAGCAGCCGCGGUAAUACGUAGGGAGCAAGCGUUGUUCGGAUUUACUGGGCAUAAAGGGCGCGUAGGCGGCGCGGUAAGUCACUUGUGAAAUCUCUGAGCUUAACUCAGAACGGCCAAGUGAUACUGCUGUGCUAGAGUGCGGAAGAGGCAACCGGAAUUCUUGGUGUAGCGGUGAAAUGCGUAGAUAUCAAGAGGAACACCUGAGGCGAAGGCGGGUUGCUGGGCCGACACUGACGCUGAUGCGCGAAAGCCAGGGGAGCAAACG